GGGAGAAGUUCAAUCGGAGAAGAAAAAUGGCAAUGCUCAGAGCUGUCAAAACAGCCUUUCUCCCUCGAUUUUCCUCUUUAAUCUCCACCGCUAGAUCAGUAAGAUUUCUCUCGCUCAUUCUCUUCAAUCCUCAUAUGUAACACAGAAAACGAAGCCAAUGUCUUCAAUCUUAGCUCCAUGCUCAAUUCGUUUAUGUGUUUACCUCUUCUGCUUGCGAAUUCAGCUCAUCGAUCGGUUUUAUUGACAGUGAUCGGACGGAUUUGAGCACUGUUAAUGGUGAAUUAAUUAGUUGAAGAAUUUUAUUAAUUAGUCUGUUAAUACGUAGGUGAGCACAUUGGUUGUAGCCGAACAUGAAGGUGGUGCUAUAAAGGGUCCAUCUAUAAGUGCAGUAGAGGCUGCAAAGGCUUUGGGCGAUGGAAAUUUAAUUUCUAUUCUUGUCGCUGGAUCAGGUCCGUCCCUUCAAGAGGCUGCUGCACAUGCUGCCUCAUGUCAUCCCUCAAUUUCACAGGUACUUGUUGCUUAUUCAGAUAAAUUUACUCAUUCUUUAGCAGAACCUUGGGCUAGGUUGGUCCAUUUGGUUCAGCAAAAAGGUGGCUACUCACACAUACUUGCUGCUGCGAAUUCAUUUGGCAAAAACAUACUGCCACGUGCAGCUGCCCUUUUAGAUGUUUCUCCAAUUACUGAUGUUAUUGAUAUUUCUGGUUCUAGUCAAUUUGUCAGACCAAUUUAUGCUGGAAAUGCACUUUGUACUGUGCGAUAUACUGGCACUAGUCCUUGUAUGUUGACCAUUAGAUCAACAUCUUUUCCAGUACCUGCGAUCUCAGCUGAUACAAAAUCUAAUGAAGCUCGUAUUUCCCAGGUUGACCUCUCAACCUUUGGUGAAGGUCUGUUUAUCUUAUCCAAUGAUUUUGUAGCUAGUCUCUGCGUUAUGAUAAGGCUUAUAGUCCUUUUUAUAGUUCUUGCAAAUGUCUUCCAUUCUAUUUGAUUGUUUCUGUGGGUGAUUCUUUCAUAUUUGUUUUAUUUGGCUGAGAAGGCAUAUCUUAUAGUUUUGUCAUGAUUGUAUUGUAGAUUCUGUUGGUAAGUCUAGAUAUGUACAGCAUACAUCUCAGGACACUGAGCGCCCUGACCUUGGAAGUGCACGAAUAGUGGUCACAGGGGGUCGGGGGUUGAAAAGUGCAGAGAACUUCAAAAUGAUUGAGAAACUUGCAGAAAAGCUUGGUGCAGCUGGUAGCUCCUGGAAAUACCUUUUCCAUUUCUUAAAAUUAUGUUCCUUGGAAUUUUUCCUAUGUUUUCUACUUUUUUUUUUGGUUACAAACUGUGGUUGUCACAACACACACCAGACCUCACAUAGGCAACCUUGCUUAAAUCAUGUUUUCUACUUUUAAUGUGUCAUGAUGACCUUAUAUAUUCUUAUUAUGUGUAAAGACUAACAAAUGACAUGACAGUUUGUUCUUCAUUAUGUGGAGUAUUUUGUUCACCUCUUUUUCUGUUUAUCUUCAGUUGGUGCUACCCGUGCUGCUGUUGAUGCGGGAUUUGUUCCAAAUGACCUCCAGGUAACAUAUAUAGUCCUGUUAUUUCCAACUUAAGCAUUUUGUAUAACUUCAAUUUAAUGCUUAAUUUUAAGAAUUCAUUUAAUUGGUUCAGAGGGCAGUAUGAAUUAUUUUGUGCUUCCAGCGCUUGCUCAUAGAAUGAUGACAUUGUAGUUUAAUGACAUUCUAAAUUGCAAUGGUUUUCCCUACUGAACUUUGCAUGAAGUUUCUUGAUAUGUAAACUAAUAUUAUUCUGGUGGCCAAAAUUAAAAAAAAAUCCGUGCACAUUCUAGCCUUUGAAAUGCAUUUCAAUGAUUUCAGGGUGUUACUUGUGUAGCCCAUAUUAUAAUUAGAACCUUGCACUAUUCCGAGAAUUCUUAUCUAUUUUAUUAUCAUGGUCUGAUUGUAACUGAAGGAAAUAUGCACUGAGUGACACAUGUGGGUCAAUCUAGAUCCAUGACUUUUAUUUGUGAAAUAAAAUAAAUUAAAAGAAAAGGGACCAAGGGAUGUAACUGCAUGAAGUAGUGCAAUGCAACGUCUAAAUGCAAUCAAAAUAACCAAGAGUCAUGUCUCUUUGUAUUAACAUAUAUAUAAAGAGAAUUGGCAUAAGUCUUGGCUCUUAAUGAUGAAAAGUUGUGAGAAAAAAAAAACUUUGUUUUGUUGUUACAAUUCUUCAAAGUAGAAAAGCGAGAAUUGGAAAGUAAAUGAAAGGGUGUGCAGCUUUAUUGCUCGGUUCUUUGGUCCUACUCUCAAUUCAACCAUGGAGCAAUCUUUUUUUGCAAUGGUAAGGUACACUUAGACUGUGGUUUAUCCAUGUAGUCCAUGAUUAUAUGCAUGUAAUUGCAUGGUGUACUAGUGAAAUAAAUAUAGUAGAGAUCAUAGGGUAUUUUGUAUGACCAUGGAUUGUGAUCCAUGUGCUGGAUUUAUAUUUAUCUUCAGUAACUGCCUUUCUUGCCAGGUUGGUCAGACUGGAAAAAUUGUUGCUCCAGAAUUGUAUAUGGCUUUUGGUGUUUCUGGAGCCAUUCAACACAUAGCUGGCAUGAGAGAUUCCAGGGUCAUUGUUGCUGUAAAUAAAGAUUCAGAUGCACCUAUAUUCCAGGUAGCUGAUUAUGGGCUCGUUGGUGAUCUUUUUGAGGUGAUACCAGAGUUGUUAGAGAAGCUUCCGGAGAAGAAGUAGACCUGCACUGCAUACCUGAGGUGUUCAAAUACUAAAGUUAUACAAAGCUUUCUUCUUGUUCAUAAAAAAAUGUUCAAAUUGGAAAAGAUAGACAGCAGAAAAUAAUGAAAGGCUUUGAAGGAUGCCAUAUCAUUUCACCGAAACUCUGUUGGUAAAGCAUGUCGUGAUUCUUUACAUGGGUGAAAAUGUGCCGCAUUAGCUUGUCAAUAAGAAAAAUGAACUCCAAUAAUGUAUGCUUUUAGCAUUAUGGACAAAGUUCUGGACUAAGGGAGAGCAGUCGGUCG
rnacentral:misc_RNA from 1 species